UUGGUCUUCUUCUUCUUCUCCAUCGUCCAUCAAUUUCCUCAGGCUCCAAAGAUUCUCCUCUCUUCCGCCAUCUGCAGAAUUAGAUUGAUAAGCUUCUUGAUUAUGUGAUUAUCGUCAGAAUCGUGAUUAUGUGAUUAAAUUCUCCUCUCUUCCGCCUUUAUGAUUGGAAUCGUGCUUCCCUCGUGAUUCCGAGCUUCAUAGUGUCUUCACGAUUCAUCAAAGUAGUGAGUUUGUUUGAGUGGGAGAAAACGAUGUGGACCAAUGUUUUCACAAUUGGGGGUCUACAUAAUGUUUCUUGGUUUCAGUUUCUUCCAAGUGAAGCUGAGCUCAAUCCUAGCUCUGAUACAAGAGGUGAGCAGAAUGAUGUUGCGACAUAUCUUGUGCUUUCAUCUCAUCUUCGGUUGCAGAAGGAAGGCUUUCUUACCACAUGGACCAAUCACUGAUAAAGCUCAGGCUGGUUAGAUGAAAAGAUCAAGCUUUGGCGUAUCAGAAUGUUGAUGUCAGAGAUGUUAUUAAUUACUUGUGUUUCUAUUGUUUGGCUUGAUUGAGAUUGUUGUCUACCUUGCAGUAGAGAGAGAGAGAGUGAAGACAGAUUAUAUGCCCCUGAUACUUGUAAGAUUGGUAUGUGUUCCCCUAUUCUCUACUUGUUAAUCGACACUGCACACGUUCUUUCCUGUUCUCAUUUGAUUCUAAGCAGCAUUCAGUAUGCUCUACUCGUCUCAUCCCCAACUAGUACAACCUGUUGGGUUGUCUUUCUAGUAGCUCUGUCUAGUUAUGGAAGAGUUAGAUCUCAUUGAUAGAGAUGAUGAACAGAAGUUCUUAUCAAGUGCUGAUUUUCUUGUGACCAAUGCAAUGCCGAGUUUGAUUACAAAUAUGCCAAGUGCUGUCAGUGAAGUUCUUAAAGGAAUGCAGUUAAAGGAUGUAAUCACCACAAGAGUUCUACAAGAAACCUUGUCACGGAUUGUGGAUGAGUUCAUGUGCACUGGAAGUCCACAUCACUGGGUUGAUUAUCUAAUGAUGCCUCAAGACACAAAGCUUUCAAGAAACACAAGUGUUGGCUCUUCUGAUGAAACUGUGAGCAAGUUUCAUCAACUUAUGGUCGAACUCUUUUGAUAGCAUUUAUAAUAUAUGACACAUUUUCUCUUUUUAUUGUUAAGGAUUCAUAAUGGGUAAUACCAUUGGAUACAAAAUUUAGAAUAGAAUC